CUGUGAAGACCAAGCAUCCUUAGCUUCAUUAUGAGUCAAAGUUAUACAUGCUUCUACAAGGAGGGACGAGUAUCACCCAUCUGAAAUGGUUUGGUGUUGAGGGUGAGUACAAUGUUAUGGUUAUUGACCUUCUAGGGCCAAUCGAAAGUUUGCAAUCCUAGAAGACUUGUUCAACUAUUGCAAUCGAAAGUUUUCUUUAAAAAUAGUUUUGAUGCUUGCAGAUCAGUUAAUAAACAGAGUUGAGUUUAGGGCGCAAAGCUAAUCAGGUGAUGCCCGAGUUACAAAAUGUUGGAAAUGGAGGCUACGUUAUAUGAAACCAGUGCAAGUGAUCGAUGGAAAAUAGAAUAUUUUUAUAUGGAGUUUCCUCUACACAUUACGAUUUUCUGCAUUAGUUAUUUGAUUUUUGCAUUUUAUAUUUGCUUCGUGAUUUAUAAUUUUUAAUUUGUAAUUGUAAUUGAAGGUUGAAGCCUUGAAUUUAUGAGAUUGUAUUUGUAAAUUUUAAUUGUUU